GAAGGGGGCAGCAGGAACAAAUCCAAAGUUUGGGAUGUCUUUGAUAAGGUGACUAUGCCAGAUCCGAAUGAGAAGGGAAAAAUGUUAUCAAAGGCAAAGUGCAAAUACUGUAAGAAGAUGUAUGCUUACAUACAAGGGUGCACAUGAUGGAACCCGUAUAUAUGUGGUAUGUUAUUCUUUAACUAUUUGUUCUAGUUGGUUUCUUUUUUUUGUUUGACUUUAAUUACUCUUUCUAUUUUCAGGAAGAAGAUGAGGAGGAUGACAUCGAGAAUAUUUCAUUUCCAAAAAGCUUUGUAGAGAGUAACUAGCUGGAGAGUGGAGACAUCAGGACAUGGAGCUGGACUUCACUGUUGCUUGCUGGAUGGUGCCUGGGCGCCUGGCUGCCUGCUUUUGUGGAAUGCUUGGAGCUGGACUUGGCUGUUGCUUGCUGGAUGGUACCCGGCUACCUGCUUUUGUGGAAUGCUUUUCCAGUAGAAUGCUUUUGUGGGUUGUGGCUGCUGCCUCGAAAUGUGUUGCCUCUGAAGUUUUUAU